rnacentral:rRNA from 1 species
GACAGAGGGGGCGAGCGUUGGCCGGAGUCGCUGGGCGGAAAGCGCGCGCAGGCGGCAACCUAAGUGUCGUGUGAAAGCCCCCGGCUCAACCGGGGGAGGCCAUGGCAAACUGGGUCGCUCGAGCUGCGGAGAGGCCCCUCGAAUUGCCGGUGUAGCGGUGAAAUGCGUAGGGAUCGGCAGGAAGACCGAGGGGGAAGCCAGGGGGCUGGCCGCAGGCUGACGCUGAGGCGCGACAGCGUGGGGAGCAAACCGG